UACAUGGAGUCAGCACCUCAAGGUCUAGAAUAGCCCCUAACCUGGACCUCCGAUUUCGACCAGAGCCACCCAGCACGCCGUGAGAGCCACCGACUUACUUCUUUCAUCUGGUAAGCUCGAUUUCGUCACCUCGUUUAGUGUUGAGGCCUCUGUUUAAUUUCAGAAAGAAGUGGGUUUCUAACUUAGAUUUUCUGGAUUGGAGUUUGGAACCUCAAGCUCAGAGGUGAAUGGAGAACACAGGAGCUCAAUACGGAUUCUGGAGGAGUUGUGUAUUUCUGCGUUUUUUUGGAGUGUUGGAGGAGAGAGAGCUAGUGGGUUAAUUUCAGUUGAAUCUGGGAAGGGUGUCCAAAACAAUUGUUGGAGCUGGAUUGCAGCAAUGGCGAAUUGGCUUCUAGUUUGGGAAAGAAGACUUGGUAAGGGCUUGGGUUAAUUGGAAAGUAGUGAUGCUCUGUUCGAAAUGGUUAUCAAUGAGUUGAUUGAGUUUGAAACUGAAAUGGGGUUGUUUUGGUGAUCUUAUGAUUAUUGUGUUACAUCUAUUAUAAACUUUGAUUGUUGGUGA